rnacentral:pre_miRNA from 1 species
GGGGGGAGGCGGGAUCCUGGGCUGUGUCCCGGCGCCCUGUGCUCCGGGGCCUGCGCUGGUGGAUUCGCGCUCACGGGGCCGCGCAGCCCCCU